rnacentral:rRNA from 1 species
CGGCUAUCACUGGGGGAUGGGCCCGCGGCGCAUUAGCUAGUUGGUGAGGUAGAGGCUCACCAAGGCGACGAUGCGUAGCCGACCUGAGAGGGUGAUCGGCCACACUGGGACUGAGACACGGCCCAGACUCCUACGGGAGGCAGCAGUAGGGAAUCUUCCGCAAUGGACGAAAGUCUGACGGAGCAACGCCGCGUGAGUGAUGAAGGGUUUCGGCUCGUAAAGCUCUGUUGUUAGGGAAGAACAAGUAUCGUUCGAAUAGGGCGGUACCUUGACGGUACCUGACCAGAAAGCCACGGCUAACUACGUGCCAGCAGCCGCGGUAAUACGUAGGUGGCAAGCGUUGUCCGGAAUUAUUGGGCGUAAAGCGCGCGCAGGCGGUUUCUUAAGUCUGAUGUGAAAGCCCCCGGCUCAACCGGGGAGGGUCAUUGGAAACUGGGAGACUUGAGUGCAGAAGAGGAGAGUGGAAUUCCACGUGUAGCGGUGAAAUGCGUAGAUAUGUGGAGGAACACCAGUGGCGAAGGCGACUCUCUGGUCUGUAACUGACGCUGAGGCGCGAAAGCGUGGGGAGCAAACAGGAUUAGAUACCCUGGUAGUCCACGCCGUAAACGAUGAGUGCUAGGUGUUAGGGGUUUCGAUGCCCUUAGUGCCGAAGUUAACACAUUAAGCACUCCGCCUGGGGAGUACGACCGCAAGGUUGAAACUCAAAGGAAUUGACGGGGGCCCGCACAAGCAGUGGAGCAUGUGGUUUAAUUCGAAGCAACGCGAAGAACCUUACCAGGUCUUGACAUCCUUUGACCACUCUGGAGACAGAGCUUUCCCCUUCGGGGGACAAAGUGACAGGUGGUGCAUGGUUGUCGUCAGCUCGUGUCGUGAGAUGUUGGGUUAAGUCCCGCAACGAGCGCAACCCUUGACCUUAGUUGCCAGCAUUCAGUUGGGCACUCUAAGGUGACUGCCGGUGACAAACCGGAGGAAGGUGGGGAUGACGUCAAAUCAUCAUGCCCCUUAUGACCUGGGCUACACACGUGCUACAAUGGAUGGUACAAAGGGCAGC